rnacentral:rRNA from 1 species
UACGAAGGGUGCUAGCGUUGUUCGGAAUCACUGGGCGUAAAGCGCGCGUAGGCGGCUUUACAAGUCAGAGGUGAAAUCCCCAGGCUCAACCUGGGAACUGCCUUUGAAACUGUAAAGCUAGAGUGUCGGAGGGGAUGGCGGAAUUGCUAAUGUAGAGGUGAAAUUCGUAGAUAUUAGCAGGAACACCGGUGGCGAAGGCGGCCAUCUGGACGACAACUGACGCUGAGGCGCGAAAGCGUGGGGAUCAAACAGG